rnacentral:rRNA from 1 species
CCUACGGGGGGCUGCAGUGAGGAAUAUUGGUCAAUGGACGAAAGUCUGAACCAGCCAAGUAGCGUGAAGGAUGACUGCCCUAUGGGUUGUAAACUUCUUUUAUAUGGGAAUAAAAUGUUCCUCGUGAGUGCUUUUGUAUUUGCCCUAUGAAUAAGAAUCGGCUAACUCCGUGCCACCAGCCGCGGUAAUACGGAGGAUCCGAGCGGUAUCCGGAUUUAUUGGGUUUAAAGGGAGCGUAGGUGGAUUGUUAAGUCAGUUGUGAAAGUUUGCGGCUCAACCGUAAAAUUGCAGUUGAAACUGGCAGUCUUGAGUACAGUAGAGGUGGGCGGAAUUCGUGGUGUAGCGGUGAAAUGCUUAGAUAUCACGAAGAACUCCGAUUGCGAAGGCAGCUCACUGGACUGCAACUGACACUGAGGCUCGAAAGUGUGGGUAUCAAACAGGAUUAGAUACCCUAGUAGUC